AAAUGGGAUGGAGAAUCGUGUU
rnacentral:sRNA from 1 species